AUUGUUUAGCAAAUAAAUUGGUCUGAUCGGGCCUGAUUUUAUGGAAAAUGUAUUGAAUUUCAUGUGAAUCAUCACAUUCAGUCUUAUAAAAGAUCGCAUUUAUAAAUAACAAUUAUGCGCGACGUAUGAUCAUCAUUUUUGAAUUGGUCGCCGCAAAUUAACCGACUGUCCAAACAACUCUUCGAUAAGAAUGCGUAUUUAUUCAAAAUAUAGCUGAAAUAAGCUAGUUUUUGAGUCACUUUGAUGAGUGUCAUAGCUGGUGAAUUUACUAUAUAAGCUCAUCCGAACAAGCGGUUUCAAUUCAAUCGCAUUGUCAACCGAGUGAAAGAAAGUACUGAAAAAGAAGGCGCAAUGGAUGACAAAGAUGACAAGAAAUCAAAUUCGGACUCGGAUACCAGAAGCGAGCAUUCGGACUCCACGUAUGAAAGUUCAGACUCGGAAGCAAAAUAUAAGUACGUGUAUUGCAGAUGCAAACGAUGCGGAUGUGAACACAAAUGCCCAUACUGUGAAGAGGAAUAUAAGAGCAGCAGAUAAAAGCCAAUCCAAAUUUCAAAAUGGUCGCAACACCGAGAAAAAAAUAUCUGCUUUUUCAAAAUAUCCUUUCAAAUGUGUGUCAAAUUUCGGAAAAUUUAAGAUCUAUUUCAUGUGAAAUUGAAUUAAUCAAUUCAAUAAAAUUAGUUUUGUGACACAAAUA